rnacentral:lncRNA from 1 species
GCUUCAGGCUGCCUUCUGUUUCUAAUCACUUUUCUUCCUAAUUUAGUUUCUCCCACCCAAAGGGAUUAUAAUUUAUUUUCAUUGCAGAAAUCAUGAAGAUGUCACAGGAUGAAAAUCACUUCCAAGUGGAUGGAACCCAUAUCUGCUGAACACCUUGACUUCGUUCUAUGUUCUGAUCAGCAGGGACCCUUUUCUUUGAACUGAGAUAUGUCACUGAGCUAACGCUGCUGAAAAAGUUUCAACUACGCAAGCUUCUUUCCUCACAGGAGAUUCAGAAUCUAGGGUCUGGUUUUGAUUUCCUGCUCAACCACCCCUUAAAGAAGCAUUGCUUCUCUCUGACUCACGCUCCUUGCCUGCAA